ACUAACAAGGAUUCCCUUAGUAACGGCGAGUGAAGAGGGAAGAGCUCAAAUUUGAAAUCUGGNAGNNNNUNNCUGUCCGAGUUGUAAUCUAGAGAAGUGUUUUCCGUGCUAGACCGUGUACAAGUCCAUUGGAACAUGGCGUCAUAGAGGGUGAGAAUCCCGUCCAUGACACGGUGACUAGUGCUCUGUGAUACACUCUCAACGAGUCGAGUUGUUUGGGAAUGCAGCUCAAAAUGGGUGGUAAAUUCCAUCUAAAGCUAAAUACAGGCGAAAGACCGAUAGCGAACAAGUACCGUGAGGGAAAGAUGAAAAGCACUUUGGAAAGAGAGUUAAACAGUACGUGAAAUUGUUGAAAGGGAAACGCUUGAAGUCAGUCGCGUCUUCAGAAAUUCAGCUAGUGAUACUAGUGUACUUUUCUGUUAGACGGGCCAGCGUCAGUUUCAGCCACCAGAAAAAGGUGAGAGAAAGGUAGCAUCCCCGGAUGUGUUAUAGUCUCUUAUCUUAUAUGGUGGCAGGGACUGAGGAAUGCAGCACGCCCUUGUUGGCCGGGGUUCGCCCACGUAACGUGCUUAGGAUGCUGGCGUAAUGGCUUUAAACGACCCGUCUUGAAACACGGACCAAGGAGUCUAACAUGCAUGCAAGUAUUUGGGUGGCAAACCCAUAUGCGUAAUGAAAGUGAAUCACAGUUGGGACUUGUGUCAUGCAAGGCACCGACGCCCGGUCCAUGAUCCCUCCGUGGUGACGGAUCCGAGGUAGAGCAUGUAUGCUGGGACCCGAAAGAUGGUGAACUAUGCCUGAGUAGGGUGAAGCCAGAGGAAACUCUGGUGGAGGCUCGUAGCGAUUCUGACGUGCAAAUCGAUCGUCGAACUUGGGUAUAGGGGCGAAAGACUAAUCGAAC
rnacentral:rRNA from 1 species